GAUGAACGCUGGCGGCGUGCCUAAUACAUGCAAGUCGAGCGAACGGACGAGAAGCUUGCUUCUCUGAUGUUAGCGGCGGACGGGUGAGUAACACGUGGAUAACCUACCUAUAAGACUGGGAUAACUUCGGGAAACCGGAGCUAAUACCGGAUAAUAUUUUGAACCGCAUGGUUCAAAAGUGAAAGACGGUCUUGCUGUCACUUAUAGAUGGAUCCGCGCUGCAUUAGCUAGUUGGUAAGGUAACGGCUUACCAAGGCAACGAUGCAUAGCCGACCUGAGAGGGUGAUCGGCCACACUGGAACUGAGACACGGUCCAGACUCCUACGGGAGGCAGCAGUAGGGAAUCUUCCGCAAUGGGCGAAAGCCUGACGGAGCAACGCCGCGUGAGUGAUGAAGGUCUUCGGAUCGUAAAACUCUGUUAUUAGGGAAGAACAUAUGUGUAAGUAACUGUGCACAUCUUGACGGUACCUAAUCAGAAAGCCACGGCUAACUACGUGCCAGCAGCCGCGGUAAUACGUAGGUGGCAAGCGUUAUCCGGAAUUAUUGGGCGUAAAGCGCGCGUAGGCGGUUUUUUAAGUCUGAUGUGAAAGCCCACGGCUCAACCGUGGAGGGUCAUUGGAAACUGGAAAACUUGAGUGCAGAAGAGGAAAGUGGAAUUCCAUGUGUAGCGGUGAAAUGCGCAGAGAUAUGGAGGAACACCAGUGGCGAAGGCGACUUUCUGGUCUGUAACUGACGCUGAUGUGCGAAAGCGUGGGGAUCAAACAGGAUUAGAUACCCUGGUAGUCCACGCCGUAAACGAUGAGUGCUAAGUGUUAGGGGGUUUCCGCCCCUUAGUGCUGCAGCUAACGCAUUAAGCACUCCGCCUGGGGAGUACGACCGCAAGGUUGAAACUCAAAGGAAUUGACGGGGACCCGCACAAGCGGUGGAGCAUGUGGUUUAAUUCGAAGCAACGCGAAGAACCUUACCAAAUCUUGACAUCCUUUGACAACUCUAGAGAUAGAGCUUUCCCCUUCGGGGGACAAAGUGACAGGUGGUGCAUGGUUGUCGUCAGCUCGUGUCGUGAGAUGUUGGGUUAAGUCCCGCAACGAACGCAACCCUUAAGCUUAGUUGCCAUCAUUAAGUUGGGCACUCUAAGUUGACUGCCGGUGACAAACCGGAGGAAGGUGGGGAUGACGUCAAAUCAUCAUGCCCCUUAUGAUUUGGGCUACACACGUGCUACAAUGGACAAUACAAAGGGCAGCGAAACCGUGAGGUCAAGCAAAUCCCAUAAAGUUGUUCUCAGUUCGGAUUGUAGUCUGCAACUCGACUACAUGAAGCUGGAAUCGCUAGUAAUCGUAGAUCAGCAUGCUACGGUGAAUACGUUCCCGGGUCU
rnacentral:rRNA from 1 species